UUGAACCCAAUUCCUCACGUAUGCAAGGCAAGCCCUCUACCACUGAGCUACAUACAACCCCAGUCUCUAUCCACAUAUUUUAAAAGUCUUAUUUCAACAAACCAAAGUACCUUCCUCCUAUACCUAGACUCCACCCCUAUCUUCUUUCACAAAGGCAAGAAUUUUUAGCAAGUUUAUUCUGGCGUUUACCUUUUUGACAGUAUCUAACAGCAUGCUUAAAUUUCCAUAUUUUUUUUUUAAUUUUAGGCUUUAUCUAUUAGCUUCUCAAUACAUAAAGCUCAGUCCAAUGCUAUAUACAUGGAACUUGGAAAAAGGCUGCUUCAAAGGAUGGAUUCAGUGGCAGGAAAAGUCUUUUUCUGUUCCUUAUUUUUCGCCAGUUUGAAUAUAGAUAUGUCGAUUGGAAUGUCAACAAAAUCUUGGACCACAAGGCAAACUUGAGCAUGGAAGACAUUCAUUUAAGAUGUGAAAAAGGAAGAAGAUCAAUGAGGGAAGACCAGCAAGGCUGACUGGGACCUCUGUGUGCAUGGUGGGGAUUGCCCACUCACAGCCUCCAUCGUGGAGUGGACUGGCUGGGCCCAUUUAUCAGGGGACCCUGAUCCAAGCUGCCAGGAGGUGAGCAGUUUUGUUCCACCACACUCCCUGCCUUGAUGUUCUGCUUCAGCACAGACCCAAAAUGACAGCACCAAGUGACCAUGAACUGAAACCUCUGAAAUGGUGAGCCAAAAUAAAUCUUUCUUCUUUGAGGUUGAUUUUCUCAGGUGUUUUGUCAUAGCGAUGAAAAGCUAACUAACAUAGGAGGUUUCAGGUCUACUGUUCAGUGGAGAACUAUUCAGCCCAGGUCUCACUUUUUAUUAUUGUGCCCUGAGUCUCAAUUGUGUCAGGUUUACAUCUGCCUACCUCCUUGAGAUAGUGCAGUUCCUGGGUUCUUUAGAUUGAGGAGGGGGGAUGAUUAUAUAACUUCUAACAACAUGUCUGUCCUUACUUUCAGUUGCAUAUGGCAUGGCCAAUUUUUGAGAUUUUCUGUGAUACCCACUACAUUGCAUUGGUUCUUAUGACACGUGCUUAAGUUUCAGGUUUCCAAAAUUUUAUAUCAGUUUCCAACAGAUUCAUCUUUCCAGUUUCAAGUUUCUGCUUCUCUGGCUCUUCUGUCCUUAUUUUUGAGGGAUAAUGCUUUAUAUCCAAGUGCUUUUUUUAAAAAAAUAUUUUUU